rfam:Cucumis sativus cultivar 9930 chromosome 2, whole genome shotgun sequence.
GUUGCAGUGACGAGAAGCUAACAUGUAAGAAGGGCUGCUUUUGUAGCGGCAUCUUCUAUGAAAUAUAUUUGUUACGCUUGGCUUCUGAGCACA